rnacentral:misc_RNA from 1 species
GUGAAUCAUCGAAUUUUUGAACGCAAAUUGCGCUUCCUGGUAUCCCGGGAAGUAUGCCUGUUUGAGGGUCAGUAUUAACAAAAAAUCGGUCUGGUUGCAAAUUGUGACGUUUCCGUAUUUUGGUCUUAUCUUAACUUUUUUGUUUAAGGGGCUUAAAAUUUACCUUUUUUGCGCAUUUUUAGACGUACAUAAAUUUUUUUUUUUAUUCGUCUAUUUUUAAUUCCAAAAUCUUAUUAUAUGCGUUCUCAUCGUUUGUUUUUGUGUUCAUAAAAUUUUCAUG